rnacentral:rRNA from 1 species
UACGGAGGGUGCAAGCGUUAUCCGGAUUCACUGGGUUUAAAGGGUGCGUAGGCGGACAGGUAAGUCCGCUGUAAAAGUCAAAGGCUCAACCUUUGAAUGUCAGUGGAUACUGCCGGGCUAGAGUCCGGAAGAGGCGAGUGGAACUCCUGGUGUAGCGGUGGAAUGCGCAGAUAUCAGGAAGAACACCAACGGCGAAGGCAGCUCGCUGGGACGGUACUGACGCUGAGACGCGAAAGCGUGGGGAGCGAACAGG